rnacentral:misc_RNA from 1 species
GAUGAAGAACGCAGCGAAAUGCGAUACUUGGUGUGAAUUGCAGCAUCCCGUGAACCAUCGAGUCUUUGAACGCAAGUUGCGCCCGAAGCCAUUAGGCCGAGGGCACGCCUGCCUGGGCGUCACACGUCGUUGCCCCCCCAUCUACUCCUUCGGGAUUGCGGGGGGCGGAUGAUGGCCUCCCGUGCGCCUCGCCGCGCGGUUGGCAUAAAUGCCAAGUCCUCGGCGACGCACGCCACGACAAUCGGUGGUUGCGAAACCUCGGUUGCCCGUCGUGUGCGGUCGUCGCGCAUCGAGGGCUCGAAAAAAUUGCCGGGUUCCGGCUCGGCUUUCAACGCGACCCCAGGUCAGGCGGGGUUACCCGCUGAAUUUAAGCAUAUCAAUAAGCGGAGGA